rnacentral:rRNA from 1 species
GUGGAUUAGAUACCCUGGUAGUCCACGCCGUAAACGAUGUCGACUAGCCGUUGGGCCCUUUUAGGGUUUAGUGGCGCAGCUAACGCAUUAAGUCGACCGCCUGGGGAGUACGGCCGCAAGGUUAAAACUCAAAUGAAUUGACGGGGGCCCGCACAAGCGGUGGAGCAUGUGGUUUAAUUCGAUGCAACGCGAAGAACCUUACCUACCCUUGACAUCCAGAGAAUCUGUUAGAGAUAGUGGAGUGCCUUCGGGAACUCUGAGACAGGUGCUGCACGGCCGUCGCCAACU